rnacentral:rRNA from 2 species
GGGGGCACGGGGGGAGGAAAGCAGGGGAUCGCAAGACCUCUCACUAUUGGAGGCGCCGAUGUCUGAUUAGCUAGUUGGCGGGGUAAAAGCCCACCAAGGCGACGAUCAGUAGCUGGUUUGAGAGAACGACCAGCCACACUGGGACUGAGACACGGCCCAGACUCCUACGGGAGGCAGCAGUGGGGAAUUUUGGACAAUGGGGGCAACCCUGAUCCAGCCAUGCCGCGUGCGGGAAGAAGGCCUUCGGGUUGUAAACCGCUUUUGUCAGGGAAGAAAUGGACCUUUCUAAUACAUGGGUUCGAUGACGGUACCUGGAGAAUAAGCACCGGCUAACUACGUGCCAGCAGCCGCGGUAAUACGUAGGGUGCGAGCGUUAAUCGGAAUUACUGGGCGUAAAGCGUGCGCAGGCG